rfam:Schistosoma mansoni strain Puerto Rico chromosome 5, complete genome
GCAUUGUAGAGGAGUCCCAUACUAGGACGAAACGGCCGUCCAGUGC